rnacentral:lncRNA from 1 species
CCUCCUUCUUUGUCUCCACCUGGCAUCUGGGACUGCCAGUUUCACUCCCUCCUUCAUGUAUCCACUUGGUGCCUAGAACUGCUUAGAUAAAACUAGCUUCACUUCUUCCUCCAUGUCUCCAUUUGGUGCCCGGGACUGUUUAUGGCACUCCAAGAUAAACUGCAGAAUGUUUGAAGGUUUCCCGGGACUGUUUUAGGGCCGACAUUCCAAGAUAAACUGCAAGAAGCCUGCAAUCAGCAUCCACCCCAGAUGUUCAUCCUUUUCUCUGUAUUUUAUUAUACCCCCUCGACCCCUCCCUAUUUUCUCUCACAGUGUGCUUAUAACCAGGCUCUUAGCCUCCAUUAAACAGAACUUGACAACUCUUUGCUUGGUCUCGCUUCCCUUUCUCCACCCAUUUCUCUUACAGGCCUCGGUCCUCCUCAACCCACGGAAUAACUAAGUCCUGCUGGACGAGACAAGUGGCGCCCAGAUGUAGGGCUUGAGGCAUGGAUCUUUGCCCAGUGGAGACCAUGGAGACUAGCUCCAAGAGAAGUUCAUCAUGACUAGAAGAAUAAGCCAUUUGAGGAGCGCUCCUACUGCUCAUUGUAGAAGCCAUCUUCGUUGAAUAAUUCCUCUCCGCUAAGAAAUGGGAACUAAACUGUUGAAGGAAGUGGUCUUCAUUAGAGACCUAAAAGCUUCGCUCAGGGAAAGGGGAGUUCGAGUUAAGAAAAAAGAUUUGAUAAACUUUUUUAUUUUGAUAGAUCAAGAUUGCCCCUGGUUUAUAAUUGAUGGGGCAGAGAUACACCGUU